AUGGCUCCUUCAAAGAAGACUGUCCAUCUAUCUGCCAUUGGUAAAGCACCCAGGAAACAACUAGCUACAAAAACCCCUCACAAGAGGUGCCCUCUACGGGAGAUGAAGAAACUUCAUUGUUACAGUCUGAUACUGUAGCACUCUAUGAAAUCAGAUACUAACAGAAGUCCACUGAACUUCUGUUUUCAGUGUCUGGUGCAAAAAACUGCUCAGGACUUCAAAACAGAUGUGUGCUUCCAGAGUGCAGCUAUUGGUGUUUUGCAGGAGGCAGGUGAAGCCUAUCUGGUUGGCUCUUUUAUUUUUUCUUUAAGAAGAUCCCAAACUAUGUGCUAUCCAUACCAAACAUGUAACAAUUAUGCCAAAAGAUAUCCAGUUAGCAUGCUGCAUAUUCGGA
rnacentral:lncRNA from 1 species